ACAAAGAGAAGCGACCUCGCGAGAGCAAGCGAACCUCAUAAAGUGCGUCGUAGUCCGGAUUGGAGUCUGCAACUCGACUCCAUGAAGUCGGAAUCGCUAGUAAUCGUGGAUCAGAAUGCCACGGUGAAUACGUUCCCGGGCCUUGUACACACCGCCCGUCACACCAUGGGAGUGGGUUGCAAAAGAAGUAGGUAGCUUAACCUUCGGGAGGGCGCUUACCACUUUGUGAUUCAUGACUGGGGUGAAGUCGUAACAAGGUAACCGUAGGGGAACCUGCGGUUGGAUCACCUCCUUACCUUAAAGAA
rnacentral:rRNA from 1 species